CAUUUUUUUUUUUGUAAACAAAUUGUAAUUUUUUUUUUUUACUUUUUUACAUUUACUAGUGCUUUAAAAAUGACUUAUUCAAUUACAUAAACCUAAAUUAAAGCGAAUUAAUAAAUAAAUAUAAACUAAAAAUCAUACAGACCCUAAAAAUACUGAAAUCUCUUAUAAAAAAAUUUAAACGUUUUGGCAUACACGCCUUUAUAUAAUUGUCGUCAAUUCUCAUUAGCAUAUCAACUAUGGUUUCGGAUCGGAUGGAGAAAAACGCGUGUAACUUGUUUGAGUUUGAGUUCUUUGCAUGAUGUCCGCUGAUUAACCAUUGUAACCAACAUCGAACUGCACACUUGUUGUUAUGGAAACUAAUUGAGAACCGAAUUGUUAUCAGAGCGUAAAAGAAUACUCAAACUUUUAAUCGUACUCUCAUUUGGCAUCAUUUUUUCGGUCUUUGCUGGCAUUGUUAUUGUAAAAUUUUACGUGCUCUGAGAGAAGAUUUCUACUUGGCAUCAUUUAUUCAAUCAUUGCUAGCAUUGUUAACCUAAAAUUUUAUUUACUCUGAGAGAAUUGUUUUGAUUGCUUGGUACCACCAGGGCAUUUCUGGCAGUGUUUUUGUAACAUUUUAUUUUAGAGAGGAAAUAUCUUUCAUAUCUUUCAUUCAUUAUACUCUGAGAAAUCAAUUUUAUUCUCUGCAUUUUUGCUGGGCAUCCAUAAGAAAUGUACAGCAAAGACAGUAAAGUAAAUUUUACUUUGCUUUUCAAUUUCAUUUUUUUCUCUUACUGGUGGAAGAUGUGUGAAUUUUGUAUCGCGGAGACUUGUGUAAAAAAUAAUGUACGUUAUUUUAUUAUUUUCACUUGGAGUUGUUAAGAAUUUGUUUUUGAAUUUUGAACGAUAAGGAUGUGUGGAUUUCAUGUCGCGCGAGAACUUGUGCGAAAUAAUAUACGUAAAUAUAUAUACAAAAUAAUUUCUUAUCGCGAGAGCAUAUGCAAAAUAAUAUUCGUAAAUAUAUUUAAAUAAAUACUUCCACUUCUUUAAACGGUUGAGCCAAAGCGGAUAAAUAUAAACGAGAAAUUUAUGAAAAUUGAAAACAAAAAAUAUAUAUAUGUAUGUGCAUAUAAUAUAUGCACGUAUGUUUGAAAACUUACAAAUCAGUCGGGAAAAAAGUGCAGUGACAUCAAAUGACACACGAAAUAAAACCAAAAAUUUUCUGAAAACAAAAGUACCUCAAGCACAGAAAUGCUUUUAUGAAUUCAACACCAAACCUCAGAGACAAACCAAGCCAACAAAACAAAAAAACAAAAAAAAAAAAUAAAUAAAUAAAUAAAAAAAUAUAAAAAAAAAAAAAAAAAAAAUGAAAAGAACAACGAUUACAUUAAAACCAACCUAAACGUUUUUCCAGGAAACCACAAGAAUAUCACAAAAUUAAAAAAAACAAAAACGAAACAGAACCGACAACUAAACUCCUUUUUAACCAGCAACUAACGUUUACGUUACGUUUUAAGCCAUAAAAUAUCUACAAGAAAAAAAAAUUAAAAAUAUAAAAAAAAAAAAAAAAAACAGAUCAGAACAAUUUUAGGCAAAACCCAUUGGUGUGUUAAAAAUUUUGUGCCUGUGUCUGUGGGGCCGUUCAUGUGCAUGUGCCAGUGUGUUGUGGUUCUUUCGACAAUUUUCGUAUAGAAAAAAGAAACUCCGAAAAAACCUAACCAAUUUACUUUAUGUCUCCGUUCGUCCGCUGCAUUUGCCUCCAGUGAUUUGAUUAAGACAAAAACAAAAACUAAAAAAAAAAAAAAAAACCCUACAAAAAAAAACCAAACUUUAUAUAUGUUUUUAGGCUUCUACCCUAAUGUAUUUGUUUGUGUGAGGUGAUUAUUGUGCAUGCAUUCGCAAUCAAUAUAUAACAACUAAACGCGAGUCUGUGUGGCUCCCCGAUUAUAUGUGUGUCUUUAUACGUUUAUUUGUGUGUGUGUGUGUAUGGAUUUUUGAAAUAAAAAUCGUGUUUUUAUCAACACAACAAGAACGAGAACAAAAGCAAAAACAACAACAACAACAACAACAACAACAAUAAAAAAUAUCUCGGCAAUUGAAACACAUGCAAUCCGCGAACAGUCGGCCAGCGAGUCGUCAGCCAGUCAGCCAGUCAGCUCAGCAAUCGUCUGUUUUGUAUCAAUUCAAUGUGCGAUCUUUAAUCUGGAUUUUUUAACUGUUCCUCGCUGCACACAUACAUACAUAAUUGUUUAAAUAGCAUCAAUUUCUCCACUCCUCGUUGCCUGAACUUUGCAUCGUGGAACGAUUUUAAUAGCAAUUCUAUGGAUAUAAAAUUUUAUUGGUAUGUUGUAAAGAGUUUCUCUUAGUUUUUAUACGCGCAAGAUUAGGAUUUCGUUACUCACCUAAGUGCUCGCAUUUUAUUAAAUUGUAAAAAUCGUCUAUCUUCUAUAUCAUCUGUGAUGAGUGCGCAGACUGAAAACAAAAAAAAAAAAAAUAAA